GCUGGUCAAACGGAACCAAGUC
rnacentral:miRNA from 9 species